UAUCAGAAGUGCGAAUGCUGACAUAAGUAACGAUAAAGCGGGUGAAAAGCCCGCUCGCCGGAAGACCAAGGGUUCCUGUCCAACGUUAAUCGGGGCAGGGUGAGUCGACCCCUAAGGCGAGGCCGAAAGGCGUAGUCGAUGGGAAACAGGUUAAUAUUCCUGUACUUGGUGUUACUGCGAAGGGGGGACGGAGAAGGCUAUGUUGGCCGGGCGACGGUUGUCCCGGUUUAAGCGUGUAGGCUGGUUUUCCAGGCAAAUCCGGAAAAU
rnacentral:rRNA from 1 species